AGGCCAGUGUUGAUCAGUGGCUGUCCAGGCCUUUCAGAGCCACUCACACACCAGCAGCACAAUGAUGAUGUCACUGACUCUACUGCUGGCCACCCUGGGGCUCCUUGUUCAGGGUUCAUCAGCAGAAAUCAUCCUGACUCAGACUCCUAAAGCUCAGUCUGUUGUUCCAGGACAGACUGUCUCUAUCAGAUGUAAAGCCAGUUCAGGUGUUAGUGAUGACAUUGCGUGGUAUCCAGGACCAAAUCUGCUGAUUCAUGAUGCUACCUCCCGUCAGUCUGGAGUUUCUGGUCGUUUCACUGGGAGUCAGUCUGGAGCUGACUUCACUCUGACCAUCAGUGGAGUUCAGGCUGAAGAUGCAGGAGUUUAUCACUGUCAGCAGCAUCACAACUACCCGUGGACUUUUGGUGGAGGAACCAGACUGAAUGUUGGAAGUGAUACCCGCCCCGCCCUGACAGUGUUGGGUCCCUCCAGUGAGGAGCUGAAACAGGGGAAGGCUACGCUCAUGUGUCUGGCCAACAAGGGCUUCCCCUCAGACUGGAGUCUGUCCUGGAAGGUGGAUGGCAGUGGCAGCAUCAGCUGGGAGGAGAGCAGGAGCCCUGUGGUGCAGGAGAAUGACGGCCUCUACAGCUGGAGCAGCACCCUGAGGCUCCCUGCAGACCGCUGGGUGAAGGUGGGCUCUGUGACCUGUGAGGCCACCCAGGGCUCCCACACUCUGGUCUCAGAGCCACUGAGGAGAGACCAGUGUUCCCAGUCCUGACCUGACUAACUGUGACUUUCAUGCUGGUCUUACUUUCAGUCUGCACUCUGUAGCUUUAAAAAAAAAAUCGAAUUUCUUCUCUCAUUUUUCAUUGCUUUGUUUGGUUUUAAAAGUUUUAAAGAAUAAAAAAAUAAACUAAAUAAGAACCAA